UUAUUCGUUAAAACUAUUUUGUAUCGAUUAACUGAGGAUGAAUAAAUAAUAAAAGUAAAUUUACAUAAUUAUUAUACGACGAUAGUUAUUACAAACUAUUAUUGAAAAUGGCCUAUAUAAUUACGCGCACGGGCGAAUGUGAUUUAGUACGCGCCGGGUCAUCCCAGAGGGUGGACGUAUCGCUCAUUUCCCGCGCGUCUAAAAGUUGAUUGACCUUACGUACGACCGAGGUUCAAAAGGAGUAUAGUGCGUCAUUGGAUUUGAUACUUUAGCAUGGGUAACAAACGCAAAAAAUAUAGUUGCAGUAGAAAUGCGAAGUCUGCAGCGAACGCCAGGCAAUCAAAAAGGAGAAAGAUUAACGAGGAAAAAAACCAACGUACUCAUGAAUCUCCUGACAAUAACGACUCCUGUGUUGAUUCAAAAAAUAAUAAUCGUGACAAUGUAAGUAUUUACUAUCAGCUAGUAUAAUUAGCUAUUCAUACUUAAAUUUAAAUCAGUAUAUAUUUAGCAGUCAUCUGGGUAAAUUAAUCAGUAAAUUAGAGGCUUUUACUAAACCCCGGUUUCCAAUUAAAUCAUUGUCUAAUAACCAGCCAAGUAAUUGAGCGCAAUAUUAAACCAGAUGGCUGAAUGUCGUGUAGUCAUUUAUAUUAAAUCAGAUACCUAAUUAUGGAUUUGUGAUGUUUGGGUAAGGUGACCAAGUAAGUUGUACGCAAUGUAACUUGGAGGUAUCUCCAAGUUUUCCUACUAUUUUAUUAUUAUUUAAAAUAAAAUGUUAAUCCAGUUCUUUAUUUUUUUUAAUAGGAAUUAUUUGAUGCACUCAUAUCGGAUCUGGAAAAAAUAGAUGAGAAAAAACAAAAUAUACAUUUAGAAGAAACGGCAAAUAUUGAAGAGUUUGAAUUGGUAUAUAACGUUGGUCACUAUAUCACGUAGUCACGCUAUCUGCCAUGCGUAAUUCAAUUAUUAAUCUUGAUUACUGAUUUCAGGAAGUGGAGCCACAAAAACAUAUCAUUCCUCCAUAUCAAAUUAUAGGAAGAAGGAUUGUUGAUUUCAUGUAUUUCUUUGAUCAAAUCAAAAUCGUAGCUAACCAUAAUCCUGGACUCGGUUGUUCAAUAAGUAAUGUUGAAAUUGUCAAAGAAAUACUUAAUGGCUUAGCCAUCAAUCGACAAUCCACUUCAAAUGUACAAUGUGUAACAAGAAAUUUAAUGUCACACUAUGCAAUAAUAAUUUUCCAAAAGAGAUGACCACAAACCAUGCUGCAGUGACUGUUUGUAAAUAAUAAAAUCUAAAAAUGUAA